AUGAACGCUGGCGGCGUGCCUAAUCUCUGCAAGUCGAGCGAACGGACGAGAAGCUUGCUUCUCUGAUGUUAGCGGCGGACGGGUGAGUAACACGUGGAUAACCUACCUAUAAGACUGGGAUAACUUCGGGAAACCGGAGCUAAUACCGGAUAAUAUUUUGAACCGCAUGGUUCAAAAGUGAAAGACGGUCUUGCUGUCACGUAUAGAUGGAUCCGCGCUGCAUUAGCUAGUUGGUAAGGUAACGGCUUACCAAGGCAACGAUGCAUAGCCGACCUGAGAGGGUGAUCGGCCACACUGGAACUGAGACACGGUCCAGACUCCUACGGGAGGCAGCAGUAGGGAAUCUUCCGCAAUGGGCGAAAGCCUGACGGAGCAACGCCGCGUGAGUGAUGAAGGUCUUCGGAUCGUAAAACUCUGUUAUUAGGGAAGAACAUAUGUGUAAGUAACUGUGCACAUCUUGACGGUACCUAAUCAGAAAGCCACGGCUAACUACGUG
rnacentral:rRNA from 1 species